AUGGCAAAAAAGUGGGUAGUCAACGCUAAGGCGCCUAGGCAGCAUGCUACAAACUGCACUACGAUGAUUUCUGUACUUGACAAACUUGAGGAGGCUCGCCCUCUUUCCUCCCUACAACUUAAACUGCGCAUUGCAGUAAAAGUCGCCUUACAUCGUCUUAACAAACUUCUAGCUGCGUACUGGCGCCAGCGAGCAAAAAUUAGAGAGUGCACUCUCGGAGACGAAAAUUCAGCUUACAUGCAUGUGUGUGCUUCUGUCCGUUUUCGCAAAAAUAAAAUUCCCAGUCUGCAUGUCAAUGGGACGGACGUGACCUCCCAUAAUGGAAAAGCUGCCGUGCUGCACGACUACUUCAGCUGUCUACUAGGAACUCAAGCUCCAUCUGUAAUUAAUUUUGAUCUCGAUAACCUCUUGCUUGGCUCUAAACUAACCACUUCUCAAGCUCUGUCGCUCACUAGGCCUUUCUCUCUGGACGAAAUUAGAUUAGCUAUUCUGAGCACGAACAUAAAUGCGAGACCAGGGCCGGACGGCUUCGGACCAGCCUUUUUUAAAGUUAAUUGGGAUCUUAUCAAGCUUGACUUGCUCAACCUCAUGAAUGAUUUUCAUAAGGGCUGCGCGGAGUUAGCCAGGAUCAACAAAGCCUUCAUUGUGCUUCUUCCAAAAAAAGUUGGAGCUACGACCCCCGACAACUUCAGGCCGGUUUCCCUGCAAAAUUGUGUCAUCAAGAUCAGCUCAAAGUGUCUGGCCACUAGAGCUCAACCUUUUAUCUCCUCAAUCAUUCACCAGGACCAAUCCGGUUUUAUUAAAGGGAGAGGUACCGCUGAUAAUUUUUUAUAUGCUGCUGAUAUUGUUCAAACUUGCUUCAAACGAAAAAAAUCGGCUAUCGUUCUAAAACUAGACUUCCGCAAGGCUUUUGACUCCGUGUCUUGGGCGGCCUUGUCUGCCAUUAUGAGAGCGAAGGGCUUCCCGCCGGUGUGGUGUGAUUGGAUUCAUAAUCUUAAUCAGACUAGCCAGUCGGCUGUGCUCCUUAAUGGUAAACCUGGCCCAUGGAUCAACUGCAGACAGGGGCUUCGCCAAGGCGACUCGCUCUCUCCUUAUCUCUUCAUUAUUGUAGCCGAUGUGUUGCAACGUCCGAUCCUUCAGGCAUCCGCUAAUGGCCUUCUAUCUCACCCGAUCGAUCCGAGCAUUCCUUGCCCUGUUCUACAGUAUGCUGACGACACCCUUAUCAUUCUGCAAGCUGACCAUGACCAACUUCAAACUCUAAAAUCUAUCCUUCUUGAAUUCUCAAACGCCACGGGUCUGGUGAUUAAUUUUCACAAAAGCACGUUUGCUCCCAUUCAUGUUGAUCCGGAUCUCGCAUCUCAACGUGCAGCUAGUUUUGGCUGCGCGGUUGCAUCGUUCCCUCAAUCCUACCUUGGCCUUCCCCUCUCCACUCACAAAUUAAACCUAAAAGAUUUAUUCUUCAUUAUUGACAAGAUUGAUCGUCGUCUCGCGGGUUGGCGAGGUGUUCUCCUCACCCUAGCAGGCCGUGCUGUUUUGGUUAGGACAGUGCUUAGAGCCUUACCAAUCUAUGCCAUGACCGCUCUCCUGCUUCCUAUGGGUAUUGUCCAGAAAAUCGAUAAACGUUGUCGGGCCUUUUUCUGGGCGGGUCAGGAUAAGGUUUCGGGCGGACAGUGUAAAGUGGCUUGGGAAUUUGUAUGUGCGCCGUUCUCUCGAGGGGGUCUAGGUUUUUCUUCUCUGCACCACCUAAACUCUUGCCUAUUGCUUUCCCACCUAAAUAAGCUUCACUCAACAUUUGCUUCUGGGGCUCGCUCCCACCUUGCUGUCAAGUAUGGAUGGUCAGAUAACCGGGACCUUGAUACUCCUCACCCUUUUGAAUCUAGCGUUUGGCAUGAUAUGGCCAAGGGGCUUGAAUUUUUCCGUUCAAUUACGAAGGUGCAUGUUGGCAAUGGUAUGACCACCGCCUUUUGGCUGGACCUUUGGGUUCAAAACUCCACCCAAAAUCUCGCAACAAUUUUCCCUGCUCUCUUCUCCCAUUCGCUCCGACCCUCGGCCACUGUUGCCCGGGUACUAAGCAUUCCUACUUUUAAUCUGGAUUUGGCACCGCGCCUUUCUCAUGUCGCUGAGCUGGAACUUGAAAACCUACGCGCUAUGCUGGCAACUGUCUCCUUGAAUGUGCAGGUUCUUGACAAACGAAUUGGACGUAUCGACGGCAAGCCGCUGGCUUGCAACUCGGCUUACAAGGCUAUUUGGAGCAACAAGCCAAUCGACUACUUCGCUCCGGCCAUUUGGAAAAAUUAUGCACCCAACAAAUGCAGAAUUUUUCUAUGGCUCGCAAGUAAAAAUCGACUCUUCACCAACGAAAGAUGCUUCAACAGGGGCAUAUCUGACUCCAACUGCUGCCCGUUCUGCCCAGCCUCUGAAUCAACGAGUCACCUAUUCCUUCAAUGCCCCGAUCUUCGCCCUCUUUGGCAGGAACUGAGCUCUCUUUCUGCUUCAGUACCGUCGGACUUUCAGCAUCUUUGGGGCAUGGACCUGGCCAACAGACCACGAUCAACGGUCAUCAUUGCUAUUCUCUGGAAUAUCUGGAAAAGAAGAAAUGCAAAAGUUUUUAGGCAGGAUUUGCAACCUAUACACCUCAUCGCCCGCUCAGCUGCAGACGACCUCAUGCUUUGGUCCAAUAGAUGCUCCAAUGAGCAGGCCGUGAACCUUCUGCGUGAUUGGUGUACUAUGUUGUUCCACUUGUCUAUGAGAUUGUAA
rnacentral:rRNA from 1 species